rnacentral:rRNA from 1 species
UAGGGAAUCUUCCACAAUGGACGCAAGUCUGAUGGAGCAACGCCGCGUGAGUGAAGAAGGUUUUCGGAUCGUAAAGCUCUGUUGUUGGUGAAGAAGGAUAGAGGCAGUAACUGGUCUUUAUUUGACGGUAAUCAACCAGAAAGUCACGGCUAACUACGUGCCAGCAGCCGCGGUAAUACGUAGGUGGCAAGCGUUGUCCGGAUUUAUUGGGCGUAAAGCGAGCGCAGGCCGAAUGAUAAGUCUGAUGUGAAAGCCCACGGCUCAACCGGGGAACUGCAUCGGAAACUGUCAUUCUUGAGUGCAGAAGAGGAGAGUGGAAUUCCAUGUGUAGCGGUGGAAUGCGUAGAUAUAUGGAAGAACACCAGUGGCGAAGGCGGCUCUCUGGUCUGCAACUGACGCUGAGGCUCGAAAGCAUGGGUAGCGAACAGG